AUAAAGGAAUGGCGCAUUAGAAAAAGAAUAAUGAAUUGGUUUUUUUUUAUACCACUCCAGGUGGCAUUUUGCAUAUUAACAAUACUGAAUGGAGUUGAAAGACUACGAAGGAGACUUUACAAUUAAUAACAAAUCUCAAGGCAGACAGUGUAUAUUUAAAUUGGACCUCAUUGGAAAUGGGCUGGACUCCGGCCUAAUGGGCGUUCCUGAUGCUCAUUACGUGACGUAGACAAAUAAGCCACAACUAUCAGGAAAGAAUGUCCGGACUCAAUCGUGAAAGGGCAACAGAACUUACCAAUUAUUCAUAGAUAGCCAAAAAUUGUGUCAUUCAUCAAGCUUCCUGCAAAAAAAUCUGGAUAUGAAAUUAAUAAAAAUAUAGUUUAAAUUUUAUUUUUAAAAUGUUUUCCUCUGCAAUAAUUUAAAAAAUAAUGUUAGCAAUAUGUAGUUAUUCUUGUAGGCUUUAUGUUUAUUAAUAUUGUAUUAUUACUUCUAAUGUUUAUCUUAUUAUUAGAGAAAGUAACCUGUUUGUUGUAAAGCAUAUAGACAUGUACAAUAAUAAGAUAUAACAUUUUGAGGAUUAAAAUCAGAUUUAUGAUAUAGGCCUACAGUAUAUAAAUAUAAAAUGUAUAUACCGUAUACAUCACAACUUAAUUUCAGUGCUUUAAAAUAAAUAUAAAAUGGAAUUG